rnacentral:tRNA from 1 species
GAAGGUAUAGCUCACUGGUAGAGCAUAUGCUUAGCAUGCUUAAGGUCCUGGGUUCAAUCCCCAGUAACUCUA